rnacentral:ncRNA from 1 species
GUCCCAUAACAAUGUUCCCUACUCAACCUUCCCCUCACGGUCAUCAACACCCCCAUAAAAUUGUAAAACACGGAACCGGCCGUCACCCGGGCUGCACAGCAGUAUACUCUACCGCAUUGGAUCAUACUACUACUACUAUUAUAAUUAUCAUCAUCAUUAUUAUUAUUAUUACUAUCAUUAUUAUUAUUAUUACUAUUGUUACUAUUCUUAUUAUUAUUAUUAUUAUUAUUAUUAUUAUUAUUAUUGUUUCUCAACGACUCAAUAAACGCCCAUUGGUACGCGUCACUAAUUAGGCUGACAGCAGCAGGCACUUUCCUCGUAGAGCGCCCUGCAAAUUCCGAAAUUAGCCAAAUGCCUCGUCAUCUAAUUAGUGACGCGUAUGAAUGGAUCAACAAGAUUCCUUCUGUCCCUAUCUACUAUCUAGCGAAACCACAGCCAAG